AAUGCGGGACUCUAAGAGGCCCCGUAAUUGGAAUGAGUACACCUUAAAUCGUUUAACGAGUAUCAAUUGGAGGGCAAGUCUGGUGCCAGCAGCCGCGGUAAUUCCAGCUCCAAUAGCGUAUAUUAAAGUUGCUGCAGUUAAAAAGCUCGUAGUUGGAUCUGGGGCUUGAGGUCGCUGUCUAUCGUUUCGGCGAUGACGGUGAUGCUCAGCUCUGCUUGCCGGUGACUGUUGCGGUGUUCUUCACUGAGCGCUGUAGCAGCACGGCACGUUUACUUUGAAAAAAUUAGAGUGCUCAAAGCGUGCUUGUCGCUUGAAUAAUGUUGCAUGGAAUAAUGGAAUAGGACCUCGGUUCUAUUUUGUUGGUUUUCGGAGCUUGAGGUAAUGAUUAAGAGGGACGAACGGGGGCAUUCGUAUUGCGGUGUUAGAGGUGAAAUUCUUGGAUCGCCGCAAGACGGACUACUGCGAAAGCAUUUGCCAAGAACGCUUUCAUUAAUUAAGAACGAAAGUCAGAGGUUCGAAGACGAUCAGACACCGUCCUAGUUCUGACCAUAAACGAUGCCGACCAGCGAUCCGUAGUGGUUGCUUUAUGGACCCUACGGGCAGCCUCCGGGAAACCAAAGUAUUUGGGUUCCGGGGGAAGUAUGGUUGCAAAGCUGAAACUUAAAGGAAUUGACGGAAGGGCACACCAGGAGUGGAGCCUGCGGCUUAAUUUGACCCAACACGGGAAAACUCACCCGGUCCGGACACCUAAGGAUUGACAGACUGAUAGCUCUUUCUUGAUUCGGUGGAUGGUGGUGCAUGGCCGUUCUUAGUUGGUGGAGUGAUUUGUCUGGUUAAUUCCGAUAACGAACGAGACUCUAGCCUGCUAAGUAGUGUUGCUAUUGUUAUAUGGUUGACACUUCUUAGAGGGACAAGUGGCAUUUAGCCACGCGAAAUUGAGCAAUAACAGGUCUGUGAUGCCCUUAGAUGUCCGGGGCCGCACGCGCGCUACACUGGAGAAGUCAGCGUGUGUUAUCCAAGUCCGAAAGGACUGGGUAAUCCGUUGAACCUUCUUCGUGCUUGGGACUGUGGCUUGGAACUAUUCCACAUGAACGAGGAAUUCCUAGUAAUUGCAAGUCAUAAGCUUGCGUUGAUUACGUCCCUGCCCUUUGUACACACCGCCCGUCGCUACUACCGAUUGAAUGGUUUAGCAAGGUCCUCGGAUCGUGGCCGUAGGGGCACGCAAGUGUUUCUGCGGUUUGCGAGAAGACGACCAAACUUGAUCAUUUAGA
rnacentral:rRNA from 1 species